GAUGAACGCUGGCGGCGUGCUUAACACAUGCAAGUCGAACGGAGUUAUAAUGAAACCUAGUGAUUUAUAACUUAGUGGCGGACGGGUGAGUAACGCGUGGGUAACCUGCCUUGUACAGGGGGAUAACACUUAGAAAUAGGUGCUAAUACCGCAUAUGCGCACAGUAUCGCAUGAUACAGUGUGGAAAACUCUGGUGGUACAAGAUGGACCCGCGUCUGAUUAGCUAGUUGGUAAGGUAACGGCUUACCAAGGCGACGAUCAGUAGCCGGCCUGAGAGGGUGAACGGCCACAUUGGGACUGAGACACGGCCCAAACUCCUACGGGAGGCAGCAGUGGGGGAAUAUUGCGCAAUGGGGGAAACCCUGACGCAGCGACGCCGCGUGAGUGAAGAAGUAUUUCGGUAUGUAAAGCUCUAUCAGCGAGGAAGAUAAUGACGGUACUUGACUAAGAAGCCCCGGCUAACUACGUG
rnacentral:rRNA from 1 species